CUCUGUUGCUACAUCAAUUGUCGGAAUAAAUUAAGUCCAUCUUGACUUUGCCUUCUACAGGAACUAGUUCUCAGUGGCAGAAGUGAAAUAAACUCAAUACCCAGAAAGUUUGGCUACUCAGAAUCUUCACUGCAAAAAUUUGUCUUCUGUCAUACAAAAUAAUCAUGGUGUCUCUGAAAAGCACAGUACUAUGGAAAGCUAUUUGGGAUUAACAACACCCAAUAGCCUCGGGAAAAAGCCUCAACUGCAAUUCAGGGAAAUGUGACGCACUCUUCAAGAGGGGCCAG